UACGGAGGGGGCUAGCGUUGUUCGGAAUUACUGGGCGUAAAGCGCACGUAGGCGGACUGUUAAGUCGGGGGUGAAAUCCUGGGGCUCAACCCCAGAAUUGCCUCCGAUACUGGCAGUCUCGAGUGCGGGAGAGGUGAGUGGAAUUCCCAGUGUAGAGGUGAAAUUCGUAGAUAUUGGGAAGAACACCAGUGGCGAAGGCGGCUCACUGGCCCGUAACUGACGCUGAGGUGCGAAAGCGUGGGGAGCAAACAGG
rnacentral:rRNA from 1 species